AUGAACGCUGGCGGCGUGCCUAAUACAUGCAAGUCGAGCGAACGGACGAGAAGCUUGCUUCUCUGAUGUUAGCGGCGGACGGGUGAGUAACACGUGGAUAACCUACCUAUAAGACUGGGAUAACUUCGGGAAACCGGAGCUAAUACCGGAUAAUAUUUUGAACCGCAUGGUUCAAAAGUGAAAGACGGUCUUGCUGUCACUUAUAGAUGGAUCCUCGCUGCAUUAGCUAGUUGGUAAGGUAACGGCUUACCAAGGCAACGAUGCAUAGCCGACCUGAGAGGGUGAUCGGCCACACUGGAACUGAGACACGGUCCAGACUCCUACGGGAGGCAGCAGUAGGGAAUCUUCCGCAAUGGGCGAAAGCCUGACGGAGCAACGCCGCGUGAGUGAUGAAGGUCUUCGGAUCGUAAAACUCUGUUAUUAGGGAAGAACAUAUGUGUAAGUAACUGUGCACAUCUUGACGGUACCUAAUCAGAAAGCCACGGCUAACUACGUG
rnacentral:rRNA from 1 species